GACGAAACGUCCAAACGUUAUUCGGAAUCACUGGGCUUACAGAGUUCGUAGGCGGUCUGGAAAGUUGGGUGUGAAAUCCCUCGGCUCAACCGAGGAACUGCGCUUGAAACUACCAGACUCGAGGGAGAUAGAGGAAAGCGGAACUGAUGGUGGAGCGGUGAAAUGCGUUGAUAUCAUCAGGAACACCAGUGGCGAAGGCGGCUUUCUGGUCUGUAACUGACGCUGAGGCGCGAAAGCGUGGGGAGCAAACAGG
rnacentral:rRNA from 1 species